AUGCCGUUUGGCCUCUGCAACGCACCGGCCACAUUCCAAUGCCUGAUGAACAACAUAUUUGGUCGCUAUGUCCGUAAGUUCACCAUCAUUUUCCUUGAUGACAUAUUGGUCUUCAAUAUUGACUUGCAGGAACAUGAACAACAUCUGCGCCUCACGCUUGAGUUGCUCUGCGAGCACCAACUAUUCGCCAAGGCAUCAAAGUGUUCGUUCGCCCAGAAGAGCAUCGAGUACCUGGGACACGUCAUUUCCAGGGACGGGGUCACCACUGACAUAAGCAAGACGAGCGCCAUGCAAGCCUGGCCCGUGCCCUCCACACCAACCGAACUGCGGGGUUUCCUCGGCCUCACCGGCUAUGACCGCAAGUUCUUCCCGCACUACGGCAUCAUCGCGAAGCCUCUCACCCAGCUCCUGACCAAGAAAUGA
rnacentral:rRNA from 1 species